GCUUUUAUUUAAGUAAUUCAAUGUAUGUGGAAUCUUAUAUCAUAUUUUGUCUUGUUUUUAUGUGAAUGUGUUUUUAAUUUAUCUAAGUUAUAUUGUGCUGAGAAUUGAGGCCAUCCAGUGGGGCUGGCGGUUCUGUAAGCCCUAAGGUGUAGGUGGAAUGUCCUUCACAAGCAGGCUGUCAGCUGUGGCGGGAAAGCCUGUCUCCAGACCGACCAGCAUCUCCCCCACUCAUAGCUUCUUGAGCUGCAUGUGUGUCCUUGUGGUUUUAAAUCACAGCUUCAGGGUGAUUGCAAUCUUUCACCCAGAGCUGGCAGAGAAGGGGGCUGAGCCCCUGGGGAGAGUCGGGCUCUCUCCCGGAGACCCCUGAUAUCUCCAAGAGUCCCAAGCCAAUCAACAAAUGUCUGUGAAACCCCUGACCAUUGAGGGGGACCCCCAAUAGAAUGACCCAAUGAACGCAUAGUAAUGCCUUAAAAACCCUGGACACUUCUUCAAAGCCAGUGUCCCUUUCGGGCACUCUGCCUGGUCUAUUUCCAUCAAAUAAAAGUUUCCCAGUUUUUUAUUUCUAUACUGAGUUGAAGAAAAGAACCCACAAACUUGCUCUGGGACUGGUAGCAAGAAUCUCAUUCCAGUUUUUCCCUCUACCGUGUUUUAUAAAUUCAUGCUCUAUGUAACCUAAACUAUUUUUACAUGGGUCAAAUCAAAAUUUCCAGCAUUUAUAAAAGAGAAGAAUUUAUGUAAAUAUCCAGAUGGUUUCUUUCUCUGUCAGUCUGCAUUCCUGCAUGGCAAACAAUCACUGGAGCUGUAUUGACUGCUGCCUUCAGAAUGGUCAUAGAUUUUCUACUUUACCUCUAGGCUCAGUCACAUUACCUGUCUGUGUAAGCAUUUCAAUUCGCAGCACCUAGAAGCGAUGAAACAUGAACAUGGCUCAUGGAACAUUGUGGCCUACUCAACUCUCAAGCUUUCCUUCUCUUCUUCCAUGCUUAUCCCCAUCAGUCCUCCAUUCAUUCCUCAGAGACAACUGCCAAAAAUCGUUGUUGGAAUCCAUUGUUUGCUCUUACAAAAGAAAACAGACAAAUAUCAGUAGCUGUCAGAAUGUAAGGAAGAGAAUGUGCUGUCGCAGCUUGGGGUGAAGCUGAAGCCAUGGCCAAAGGUGAGCAAAACCACACAUUAAGAGAGCAGUUAAUAUCCUAGGGUCUCUGAAGGGAAAAAACAGAUGACAAAGGUGGGUGGCAUUCCGGUCAGAAGAUGCUAGCCUCACCAUCAGUUAAGAGAUAGGCUGUUCCUUUAUAGGAAAGGGGAGAAAUGGAACAACACAUCUGAUGUAUGUUCCAUGUCUCUGAUUUUGUCCCCCCGUGUCAUGUUAGUGCUCAGAAGCCUCUGCAGGAGAGGUCCUCCCUGGAGGAAAAAGCCUACAGCUGGCUCGUUUGCAGAACUUUUGUUUGUUGGUAAGAACUCCAAAGCCUCAGGUGGGUCAGAGCAGAUAUUUUUUUCUUCCCCCCUCUAGGGCUGGUGUGGUAACCAGCAUCAUAGAUAAUGCCAGGAAGAGAAAAUUGGGUUUGGAAAAGCAUUCUAAUCAGUUCAAACUGAGCCUCUCUGAUUACUAGAAUUCCAGGGUAUCAAGCGUGAUCCUAAAACAGAUCAUCUGUUUGACAGGCACUUCAAGUUUUACAUUAUUGCAAAAUUGCAUUAUUGCACUCAGGCUUUUGAUGUAUGGAUUUAUCUAAGCCCCUUAAGCAUAAUUUGGAAAAUGAGUUGAGGCAGAAGCAGAGGCAAUAUUUCUUGCUCUUUUAUUUGACCCAGAAAGAAACACAAUUUCAAGUGAUUUGGUUAUCUAAGAGAGCUUCUCCUUGCUCUGUCACCUAGCUUUGUGACCUCAAUCCCACUUAUUAAGUGCAGCUCAGGCAGCCUGUCUGAAGGCUGUCAGCUUAGACUUUAUCCCAGGAGAUUCAUUACAAAGGACCAAGGAUCGUGCACAACUGGCUAAGAUGAAACUCCAGGCGAACCAUAAUUACAGAGCUGGGGUCACGAGAGAAUUAAGGGUGCAGACCCAUUGCCCCAGGUCUCCAAGUUUCCCAAGUCAUUGAUAGAGAGGACUCAAGUGGUUCAGUGACUCUUGGCAUGACCUUUAAUUGGUUUGUUUCUGUGAGUGAUUGUUUCCCUAAUCCAGUGUGUCCUGUAUAUUGUUGUUUGAGUAAUUUUCCUGAAGGAUUAUUCUAAUUAGUGUCCCCCUCCUUUUUUUUUUUUGCCUAGAUAUUGAACUCCUUCCAGGCAUACCAGGUUCUUAAAAAGGUGCUUCGAACACCAGCAGGAUCAGCAACACUUGGGACUUUGUUGGAAAUGCACAUCUUAUAUCUCAAUUCAGAACUACCAAAACAAAACAAAACAAAAUUCUGGGGCAGGGCCCAUCAAUCUGUGCUAACAGACUCAAGGGUGCUUCUUAUGUGAUUGUCGUUCUCAUGUGAUUAUCAUUCUCUGUGAUUCUCAUGUGCUAACAUCUCAGAGCUCUACUGUAUCCGGAACAAUGAACCAUUAUGAAUUUACCAUAUUCUGCUUCCUCUGACAGAAAUUUGACCAUACAUCUUUAAUUUAACUCCAUAUUUUUUGUCCUUUUUUUGUUGUUGUUUACUGCAUUUCCUUUAACUAGAAUUAACUUUUUCCAUGUAUGCAUUUUGAGCCUGGGCUCAACUGCGACCAUAUUUCCCCCAGGUUCUUUCAACCUCUAUACCAUUGACAUUUGGGCCCAGAGGUAUUUUGUUGUUCUGGGGGCCUAGCCUGUCAUUCUCAAGUAGUAACCCCAUUGUGAAACCAAAAAUGUAACCAGACUUUGCCAAAUGUCAGGUAGGGGAAAAAUCUCUAUUGGUUACUUCAUGUCCCAAAACCACACUUAAUUUCUCCAGUCUCUGUGCUUCUGGAUAAAUUGGACCUUGAUUAUUUACUAAAUCAGGUUCAGAUAGUUGUAAUUUUUUAAGAAUACAAAAGAACACAUACACACAUAUCUUCAAUAAAUGUAAGAUGCUAUUAAAAUAUAAGACA
ensembl:lncRNA